AUUUGAAGUUGCAGCCCAAGAUUUUAUUGAUUUUAAUGUGGUCUAUUCUUGAUAAAAAUAUAUUGCGCUACUCUUCGUUUAAACUACUUUAGCUUUAAACUGUUUAGGAGAUGAUUUGAAGCGGUGCUACAAUCUACAGUGGUCGGUGGACAAGUGCGAUGAACACCAGAGCCAGAUGCUCUAGUUCAUGUACUAUGACUGUGACUGAUUAAUGUACCAGGUACCUCUGCAACAAACUGACAGUCUUACCUGUAACAGUGUAACCUGAUUGGAGGACGGUCUAGGGAAGGAUAUAAGAAUUAAGCUUACUUCACAGCUAUACUCUACAAAAGUACCUUCAGCGAAAUAAGACGUCAACAUCCAUCUUGUUUAUAUCAAUGAUUGUGGAAAUUGCUUUUGUAUUCUUUGUAAUUUAAUUCUUUAACGUUGUAUUCUCUUAAUACAUUACGUUUGCUAGAAUUCUUGUGUGUAAGCUUUAGAACUCUAGAUGUCAUACAGAGAUUUACGGCCAAGUGUCAACCCGGGGUUUGAAGCACGUUAUACUAGUUUCAACUUUUAUCAAACUGAUCCACCGAUUUCAGCUAUGACAUUUUUAUUUUUGAUCAAACAAAUGGUUUGUAUUGUAUGCCGAUAAAAAUGCUGCCAAUGAACACUAGGCAAGGGUAUAACUUGUAUAAUGCGUACAUCCGUAUAUUUUUAAUACCACUAACUGAUCGCAUAUUUUUAAUACCACUAACUGAUCGAUAAAUUGGCUAUCCGCUGUAUUUCGAAUAAUCAGUGAAGAAAUUCAAAUUAAAAUAUUAUGCUAUAUUAAUUAUUAUUACAGAGAUAAUUUUGAACACGUGCGUUAAAAUUAAAAUUUGAUUUGAAUCGUAAAAUCUGUUUUGCUAGAGCAGGGGAAUUAGAUGAUUAAUAUUUUUGAGAUAAAUUGAGAUACAUUGGGGUCUUUAAUUGAUACUUGUUUCGAAACGUUUUGAAUUCAAUUUCGUGCUUCGUUUACAUGCUGGUCGAAUAAAACUAAAGAGUGUUCUAGACAGAACAAUGAGAUUACAAAUCA